UACGAAGGGGGCUAGCGUUGUUCGGAAUUACUGGGCGUAAAGCGCGUGUAGGCGGGCCGUUAAGUCGGGGGUGAAAGCCCAGAGCUCAACUCUGGAACUGCCUUCGAAACUGGCGGGCUGGAGCAUGAUAGAGGAGAGUGGAAUUGCGAGUGUAGAGGUGAAAUUCGUAGAUAUUCGGAAGAACACCAGUGGCGAAGGCGACUGGCUGGAGCAUUUCUGACGCUGAGGUGCGAAAGCGUGGGGAGCAAACAGG
rnacentral:rRNA from 1 species